rnacentral:rRNA from 1 species
GUGAGGAAUAUUGCGCAAUGGGCGAAAGCCUGACGCAGCGACGCCGCGUGGAGGAUGAAGGUCUUCGGAUUGUAAACUUCUGUUAAGUGGGAAGAAAGGGCUGCUUUUAAUAGAAGCAGUUAAUGACGGUACCAUUAAAGAAAGCACCGGCUAAACUCGUGCCAGCAGCCGCGGUAAUACGAGUGGUGCAAGCGUUAUUCGGAAUAAUUGGGCGUACAGGGUGUGUAGGCGGUAUGUUAAGUCUGUUGUUAAAGACUCCGGCCUAACCGGAGACAGGCAGCGGAAACUGGCGUACUAGAGGGUGGAAGAGAGAAGUGGAAUUCUCGGUGUAGCGGUAAAAUGCGUAGAUAUCGAGAGGAACACCGAUGGCGAAGGCAGCUUCUUGGUCCAUACCUGACGCGGAAACACGAAAGCGUGGGGAGCAAACAGGAUUAGAAACCCCAGUAGUCC